rnacentral:rRNA from 1 species
GACGGAGGGUGCUAGCGUUGUUCGGAAUCACUGGGCGUAAAGGGCUCGUAGGCGGUCUGUUGCGUCAGGAGUGAAAACUCGGGGCUUAACCCCGAGCCUGCUUCUGAUACGGGCAGACUAGAGGUAUGCAGGGGAGAACGGAAUUCCUGGUGUAGCGGUGGAAUGCGCAGAUAUCAGGAGAACACCGGUGGCGAAGGCGGUUCUCUGGGCAUUACCUGACGUGAGGAGCGAAAGCAUGGGGAGCGAACAGG